UAUCGCAUUUAUCGAUUGAGAAUGGUCUCAUCACAUAAACACUUUCUAUAUGUUAUUUCGAGAUUCAAAGAAGCAAGCAAGUUUAUAGGGCAUAUAGUUGUUUUUUUCUAGGGCGAGCCAAGAUCUUAUCUUAUUUGCAGGUCGUAUAAAUGAAAUGAUUGGAAAAAUCAUAUAGAAUUUGGAGGUGCAUAGUGUCUUACGGGGCUGGCUCACAAUACAACAAUUAUCGCUACUGAUUCCAGAUAGAAUGUUGAUACCGGUGGAAAAGCACUUCUUUCUAUGUAUAGGGCAGUGAACUAAAAAAAGUGUCCUUUCUCGAUACAUAACAUUAUAUAGGUCAACCCAAGUCGCUUCAUCUCCGGGAAUCCGGUAAGGUACUUUUGGAACACCAAUGGGCAUAUUAGAUUAAUAUUAUUAUAUUUCAGUAAGAAAACUACACUUUAAUAUAUAAACAUAAGAAUGGAAGAGAAAGAAAGAACCUAAGAAGAUCUUAGUUGGAACUCUUUACCGGGAUCAUAGGGGCUAUGCUCCCCUCUCUCUGUCUCAGUCCCAGCCAACGACAUAGCAACACCUACUCUUCCUUCUGAUGCAGCCUUCCUGGAUCCAUAAUUUGGCUUCCUCGUUUAUUGAUUGCUUGCAAUCACCAGAACACCAUUGAGUGAGCGUCAUAGAAUCCUCAAGGCGUGAAGUAGAAGUUCUUUGAACCUUGAUUGUGUGUGUUCGUGCCCACCCCAAUAGAGCAUUUGGCCCUGUGAGCUUUGACUAUGAAAGCUACCUAUGUCAAUCAGUCUAGCCACUAGAGGGAUUGGAACAGGUAUAUUCCUUCUCAGACAGUACUUUAAGACAAACACGGUUCACAAGGUGGAUUUUCUAUCUAUUAGUUGACUAUGGAGCUUCCUCAUCCCGACCUAUCUAUAUGUGAAAAGCUCUCUGCCAGAAUCUUCGUAGUAGUAAGUCGUGGGUUACAAGCUGUCCCAUCCUCAAACCACCCCGCAAUAGAUAUAGGGUUUACCAACCUCAGGCAUGGACAUAGACACCAGAUCAUCUUGAUCGAGGACCCAUUUUAGGAAUAAAAAGGAUAGAGACCAGACGUAGUCCAAUCGGAAGGUCGUGCUUUAGAGAAAGACUUGUGUUCUAUAGGAACAGCUGCCUAUGUUCACCCUGCUGCCCUGCCUAUCGCAGAACCGCUGUGAAGCAUCCAUUCUAUUCAAUUAGAAAUAGCAUCUAUAACUAGUAGUAGAUGGUUGCUUCGAGGUCUCACAGGUCCUACUUAAGCGAAAAUGUAGUUGUGGAAGUAGUCUUGCCCACUUUGCAUUACGCUCAUAGAGAUCUAUAAGUAUCCCUCUUGUCUAAGUAGGUAAGUACGCUCGGCCCAGUACUAAACUUUAGCAUUAAAGCCAGAGUCCUUCUUUUCAUGAAUGUUCAGGAAGAAGAGAAUCCCUAAGUUAGAAUUGAAUGCCAUCCCAUUUCCUAAAGAAAGAGAUUUCCAAUAUACGUGAAUCACGAAAGAACCAAUGCUGUAACUUGCUUCAUCCGGCAUUUUAAGUAAUCAAUGGGAUUUUCUUCCCCGAGAACAAAAAGCUACACGAGGAGAGCCUUGUUUACUGAUAUGUUACUAAAAGACCAGAGGUGAUGGCCUCUGAAUUGCAGGGCAUGGAAAGUGGGUGUUAAUCAACAAGAUUAUCUACAUUUGCGGAAACCACUACUGGAAUAAAGUUAGAUCUUUAUUUCAUUUCAAGGAAAAGUUUCAGGGUUUAGCCACCACUCAGACAGUAGUGAAAAAUAAAACUAACUCUAGGCGAAAGUGCACGGAGGAUCUGUGAUUCCUCCUACCUUAUGAGCCCUUACGAAAUGCCAUUUUGAAUGAUGGACAAAUCAUGGGUGUCGGCGGUCUAGUCAGAGCAUUUUGGAGCGCCUGAGCGGGCAAAGUAGGUUGAUCCGUCCCAGGGGGAGGGAACAAACGGGAAAUUGAACACCAUAGGGCACAAACGAAUCGCCAGUAACGACCUGUAUAUAUCAGGCAAGAGGUGCUACUCCGACCCGGAAUCCUGCGUGAUGGUUGGUCACCUUACCAAUAAUCUUCUUAAUGUUGGAGAAAAUGAGGAUCAUUGACUUAAAUUGGAAUUGAUACCUAGAAAACUUGUUUCUAGCUUGCCACCCCAGAAGGCAACGUAUACACAAGUAUAGACUAUAGGUAACACUUUAGGGUACAACCUUGGGUAGUCUUAGGGUUUUCCAAGAUAUGAUAUGAUCGGGUUAUUUAUUAGAAUUGGAAAUAGCUAGACGAAUAAGUAGGCUUUAAAAGGAUGAAUAAAGUAGGCCUUCUAACUCAAAGUACUCCAGCUUAAGGAAAGACAUGCAACAUUGGUGAUCAACGCAUGGAAUUUCCGCUAUUCCGUUCCGGGAAAACACUUGUUUUUUCACGUUUUUCCUUCGCUGUUCUUUCCUGGAUUUUUUGUUGAUGAUUCUUCCCCUUAAAAAAAGCUUUUCCUUAUAAAAAAUAUGUGGCCCUUUUCUUUCCCGAAAAGGCAUUCAUUGUUCGUUCUGUGCCAGGAACCAAAUUUGAACUGGUGACACGAGGAUUUUCAAUCCUCUGCUCUACCAACUGAGCUAUCCUGACUAUUUAUUGUGCAUCAUCCUAGUAGAGUACUUGUAUCUAUGUCAAUUAAAGGGACUCAAAAACAAAAAAGUAUUCUCAAAUUGGACUUAGUAAAUAUCAGGAUAAUGAUAUGGAUUUGGAUCCAACGGAUAAUGCAAAUCGAAAAAUCAAGCCCGCCUAUAAAUGAAAUAAAUGAAAGUGAAAGUUCAGUACGAACUGGUAGAGCAAGAGCAGCUAGUUUAGAAGGAAAAGAAAAAGGGUGCCUACUCAGUGGUAAGUUAGGUCAUUCCUUUCUGGCUAUCAGAAAAGAGUAUGAUCGAGGGUCCCAUAAGGCAAAGGGAAGGUGCUCCCCCGACCUACUACCCUCGGAGAGAUUCCUACAGUUUUCUUUAAAAAAUAAUACAUAGGUGGGAAAGUGGUAUGAAUAUGGGGUUCGAAGUCGCCUAAAAGAACCUUUCUCAUUCGCAAAGCUAAACAAAGUAGAGAAAAGGGGGUCAUCCCAUUGGCCAGACUGAGCAUCAAGCCAGCCAAGAAGUCAAAGCGAAGAAGGAGUGACUCGCAUGAGUCAACACUUACUACUCAGGUCCAGUAUAUAUAUCUCAAAUUCGAAUAUAGAAAUGUUAAUGUUAUGAUUUCGGUAUUGUUGAAACUGGCUUUCACAUGAAUAACCCCUUUUGUUAUUCUACGUGCACUCUUCCGUAAACUAAAAGGGGCAUUCCUACGCAAACUAAUAGGCACUUUCUUACAUGAACCUAUUUUUGGUAUAGCUUUGCUAAUCUUUGAUGGCCUUCUGUACUUGUGAAAAGAGAUAGAAUCGUCUCACGCAUCACUGCUUACUUGUGAUCUAGAUCUGCAUCCUGAUAAGGUGCAUCCCGUUAAAUGAUCUUAUGUAAAACUUAUCACCAUAGGUAAUAAACAGGGCAGAGUUUUGAAAAGUACAACUCGAUCUUUCACCUCAGCUUAUGGUGGUGACUUUACCUAUUUUGGAAUUUCUAUAUGUCAUCAUACCUUUUAGGAUCAUAACCAUCCUCAUCUUGUAAAGUUUCUAUGGCGAAAACUAUAGGCGGGUGACCCUGACGAUUGCACCAAGACUGGUAUCAGAUUCCCUCGGUAAUCAAAAUCAUAGAGGCCAAAGUUGCUAAUGUAUCUGCAAAAGAAGAGCUAUAGGAAGUAGCAAGGAAUCCCACAUGAACCAUAAGCUAGAAUACUGGUAUCAAGAGAUGUUAUUACAGGUACAACCCUAUUUUCGUCACUGUAUAGAGGCAUUCGAGGUUUCAUAGACAGAGGUUAGAUAGAUGGAAAAAAGCUAGGUUAGAUAGUAAGAACUUGGUAAUUGAGGGUUGGCCAAAGCAGGAUCUAUGGUUCAGUUGCUUUUCUUCUCCUGAUUUUCUGAUCCAAAUCCUAUUUCAUUGAUUUUCUGACUGGAAUUCCAGAAGGAAAACUAGGAGAAAUUGACUGGAAAUGAUUAUCCCAUUUCUUGCUUUCCCAACCGGAAUAGCAAACUAGUAGGAAAGGAUCUGUUAUUUUGGAGUUCUGUCCCAACCUUCAUUUAAUUAUCCGGGCUCCCCUUCUGCUUGAAUAAGACCGCUUUCCCUUUCUUUUCUUCCCUGGCACCCAACAUAAGUUAUAGGGCGUCCUGAGGGUAGACCCAGCAAUUUGUCAAUCUAUACACAUCAUAAGUUAUAGGUUGGCUAGGUCAAUCAGUUGAGGGAAGGCCGAAGUAGUUCUGGUUUCGGAAGUCAAGGUAGAUAAGCUAUGGUGUCCUAUAAUCCUCUCCCCUGAAGGGUUGUUAGAUUACCAAGUCCGCAAGGAAUGGGAAAUAGGACCUUUAAAUCAAUGCAAGUAAGGGCUGAUUAACCUAAAGAAAAGAGUGCAUGCAUCAGAAAACACUUUUAUUUUAUUCUAAUUCUCGUAUCAAUAAGAUCAUAUCGGGAUCCAUCUAUGAAAGAUCUCUAUUGCACCAAUAAAACAAACCCCUAUAUAUAUAUAUAUAUCCCUUUUUGGUAUAGAAAGUUCCAGCCAAUUCCAAUAGCUUGUGAUAGAGUCAAGGGUGUGAUUACCCUUGAAUUUCAGCUCACACUUUCGGUAAGCUCGAUAGUAUCGUAUUCCGCUCGUAUGCUCUCGUAUAAAUGAAAUGAUUGGAAAAAUCAUAUAGAAUUUGGAGGUGCGUAGUGUCUUACGGGGCUGGCUCACAAUACAACAAUUAUCGCUACUGAUUCCAGAUAGAAUGUUGAUACCGGUGGAAAAGCACUUCUUUCUAUGUAUAGGGCAGUGAACUAAAAAAAGUGUCCUUUCUCGAUACAUAACAUUGUAUAAGUCAACCCAAG
rnacentral:lncRNA from 1 species